UGCACGGUGCAUCUACAUUUGUUUUGUAGCUGAAUGACUAGCAAAGACAAUCUCCAAAGAGCUAUAUCUACUGACCAGUAUUCUCUACUGACCAGUGACGGAACUUCAGUGACCUGGAGGAACAUUCCUUUCAGUGGUUCCAGAAGGUUCCCUAGGGCCAGGAUUACGACCAUCACCAGGACCGCCGAGAUGAUGCCGGCCACCUGCACACCCAGAGACCAGCACAGAGGGUUAGAUUUAGGAUUCAGAUUGCAUUUGCGUGUGUGUGUGUGUGUGUGUGUGUGUGUGUGUGUGUGUGUGUGUGUGUGUGUG